UACGGAGGGUGCGAGCGUUAAUCGGAAUUACUGGGCGUAAAGCGCACGCAGGCGGUUUGUUAAGCUAGAUGUGAAAGCCCCGGGCUCAACCUGGGAUGGUCAUUUAGAACUGGCAGACUAGAGUCUUGGAGAGGGGAGUGGAAUUCCAGGUGUAGCGGUGAAAUGCGUAGAUAUCUGGAGGAACAUCAGUGGCGAAGGCGACUCCCUGGCCAAAGACUGACGCUCAUGUGCGAAAGUGUGGGUAGCGAACAGA
rnacentral:rRNA from 1 species